UAAGGCGCACGGGAUGCCUUGGCACUAAGAGCCGAUGAAGGACUGACUAACGAACGAUAUCUGGGGAGCAGUAAGUCGCAGACCAGCUCCGAAUGGGGAAACCCCUGCUACUAGCAAUUAUCAUGUUGAAUACAUAUUGCUUCAGAAAGGUAACGCACGAAGAAUGAAACAUCUAGUACAUGCAAGAAAGAAAGUAAAAACGAUUUCGGCUAAGAGCGGCGACGAACGCGAAGAAGCAAAACCAAGAAAGCUGCUUCUUGGUUUAGACUGCAACGUGGCCUAAGCAUAUAUCGAAACCUGGGACGUAAUCAAAAGAGGGAAUAAUGCCGAAGAAAUAAGCCUUAUACCACAUAAUCCUGAGUAGGGCUGACACGCGAAAUCCAUUGAAUCCGGGAGACCAUCCCAACCCUAAAUACCCUUAGUACCGAUAUGAACCAGUACCAGUGAAGCAAGUGAAAAGAACCCCGAAGGAGUGAAAUACACUGAAACCGUGCCACAAAAAGUUCGAAGCCCGUCUAAUGGUGAGAGCUGUCCUUGUAUAAAUGAACCGCGAUUUACUAGAGCGAGGUAAUUGAAGAGAACGAGCCGAGGAAACCGGGAGUCAAUAGGGCGCUUACUAUCAGAUUAGACCCGAAACCUAGGACCUAUCCAGAGCAGGUGAAGGUGUAAGACCACUGGACCCGAACCAGACACGUUGAAAAGGCUGGAAUGACUUUGGAUAGGCGAGAAAUCCAAACGAAACUGGGAGAUAGCUGUCUCUCCGAAAUAGCUUAGGGCUAGCGUCGAAAUGUAAGUGUAUGGAGGAAGCACCGUGUUUGGGCUAGGGGUCCGUCUAAGGAUACAAAUCUCAAUAACCCGAAGCUAAUACACCUGUUCGUCAGUCAGACUGCGAGUGCUAAGGAUCCGUAGUCGAAAGGAAAAAGCCCAGACCAACACUAAGUCCCCAAAAUAUAGUUAAGUGAACAAGGAGUGGGGUUGCACAGACAAACUAGAUGUUACUCAGAAAGCACUAUCAUCAAAAGAAGUGCGUAAUACUCACUACCAUGCCCUCGCCGAAAAUGACCGGGUCUAAACAAUACCGAAGCUUGGAUGAAUUUUAUCAAUGUAAGAGCUUCUUAACCGCGGUGAAUAUAUGGCCGGACGAUCGAGCGUUAAAGAAGUGAGAAAGCCGUAUGGAAGCGCAAAUAAGGAGAAUAUCCACCGUAAGACAAGGUUCCAGGGAAGCUCGCCGCCCUGGUUAGCGACCUCAAAAGCGAGCCGAAAGGCGUAGUCGAGGACAACUGUUAUAUUCCAUACUAUAUAGAUCGGAUGGAGACGCAGUGGCAGAAUCCAGUAAAGGGAUCUGCGUCUAAAAGCAAGUGCAGUGUGAAUGCAAAAUUGAUUCUCUUUACAUUGAGCUGGAUGUGGAAGCAACUACGGUCUCGUACCUCUGAGUACACUGGGCCAGAAAAGCUCUAGCGAAAGUCCAUAUCACCCGACGCAAACCGACACAGUAGUGAGGCAGUAGUCCCAGUCAACGAAGAACUCGUAAGAACUCGGCAAAUAAGCCCCGAACUUCGGAGAAGGUCGGGUAACCAGACGCAGUGAAUAGGCCCAAGCAACUGUUUUAUCAAAAAACACAGCUCUCUGCUAAACCGCAAGUGAUGUAUAGGGGUGAGCCUGCCCGGUGCUGGAAGGUUAAGAGGAGUGCUUAGACGUAAGCGAAGGUAUGAAUUGAAAGCCCCAGUAAACGGCGGCCGUAACUAUAAACGGUCCUAAGGUAGCGAAAUUCCUUGUCGGGUAAGUUCCGACCCGCACGAAAGGCGUAAUGAUUUGGGCACUGUCUCAACGAGAGACUCUGUGAAAAUUUAGUACCUGUGAAGAUGCAGGUAACCCGCGACAGGACGGAAAGACCCCAUGGAGCUUUACUGUAGUUUUGAUAUUGAGUACCUGUAAGUCAUGUACAGGAAGUAAGGAGCCAUUGAAAUAGGACGCUAGUUUCUAUUGAGGCGUUGUUGGAUACUACCCUGACUUAUGGUUACUCUAACCCGCUGGCAUAAUCGGCCAGGGAGACAGUGUCUGACGGACAGUUUGACUGGGGCGGUCGCCUCCUAAAGAGUAACGGAGGCGCCAAAGGUGGCUCAGAUUGGUUGGAAAUCAAUCGUAGAGUGUAAAGGUAAAAGCCAGCUUGACUGCGAGAGCUACAACUCGAGCAGGUAGGAAACUAGGACUUAGUGAUCCGGUGGUACCGCAUGGAAGGCCAUCGCUCAACGGAUAAAAGCUACCCUGGGGAUAACAGGCUUAUCUCCCCCAAGAGUUCACAUCGACGGGGAGGUUUGGCACCUCGAUGUCGGCUCGUCGCAUCCUGGGCUGUAGUCGGUCCCAAGGUUGGCUGUUCCGCCAUUAAAGCGCACGCGAGCUGGGUUCAGAACGUCGUGAGACAGUUCGGUCCCUAUCCGUCGCGGGCGUAGGUAAUUUGAGAGGAUCUGUCCUUAGUACGAGAGGACCGGGAUGGACUUACCGCUGGUGUACCAGUUGUUCGCCAGGAGCACGGCUGGAUAGCUAUGAGGGAAGGGAUAAGCGCUGAAAGCAUCUAAGUGCGAAGCCCACCUCAAGAUGAGAUACCCAUUCGUAAGAAUUAAGAGCCCAGAGAGAUGAUCUGGUAGAUAGGCUGGAAGUGGAAGAGUUGCGAGACUUGGAGCGGACCAGUACUAAUCGCUCGAGGACUUA
rnacentral:rRNA from 1 species